CGACUCUCGGCAACGGAUAUCUUGGUUCUCGCAUCGAUGAAGAACGUAGCGAAAUGCGAUACUUGGUGUGAAUUGCAGAAUCCCGCGAACCAUCGAGUCUUUGAACGCAAGUUGCGCCCGAGGCUAUCCGGCCGAGGGCACGCCUGCCUGGGCGUCACGCCUAGCGUCGCUCC
rnacentral:rRNA from 1 species